rnacentral:lncRNA from 1 species
UUCAAAGCGAUGCGAAGACAUCAUUGGAGAUAGACGUGUUACGAUAAGCAAAAAAUCAACAUAAAGAGUUAACGAUGUCGUUGGCUACGAGAGUAAGAGUGGCAAAGAUAGGCAGAGACAACAGUGAGAGAGUAAGAUCAAGAGUUGGUGUGGUGAUGGUAGGAAUGGUGAUGACCGAAGAUGGAGAUUAAGCUAAGAUUGGGAAUGAGAAGAAACUACAACCUUAUGAGCUGGCAAUGAGAGCCAAAAGCCCAGUGGGAUCCAUUCCUGUAUAAUGAAAGCCAUUGUUGAUAAGAGCCAUUACUGUACAAUAAGAGCCACUAUUGUCGUUG